rnacentral:rRNA from 1 species
UGGGGUCGGACGGAGGAAUUUAUUUCGGUGAUUCUUAGUGGCGAACGGGUGAGUAACGCGUAGGCAACCUGCCCUUUGGAUGGGGACAACAUUCCGAAAGGAGUGCUAAUACCGAAUGUGAUCCAUUUCUCGCAUGAGAGAUGGAUGAAAGAUGGCCUCUAUUUAUAAGCUAUCGCCAAAGGAUGGGCCUGCGUCUGAUUGUUAGUUGGUGGGGUAACGGCUCACCAAGACGAUGAUCAGUAGCCGGGCUGAGAGGAUGAAGGGCCACAUUGGGACUGAGACACGGCCCAAACUCCUACGGGAGGCAGCAGUGGGGAAUCUUCCGCAAUGGACGAAAGUCUGACGGAGCAACGCCGCGUGAGUGAUGAAGGUUUUCGGACUGUAAAACUCUGUUGUCAGGGACGAAGGUGCGAUCUGCGAAUAGUUGAUCGUAUUG